AUUGAACGCUGGCGGCAGGCCUAACACAUGCAAGUCGAACGGGUGGCUGACUGGUGAGUAAUGUCUUGGAAACUGCCUGAUGUAGGGGGCUAACUACUGGAAACGGUAGCUAAUACCGCUUACCCUCCUAUGUGCCCAGAUGGGAUUAGCUAGUUUGUGGGGUAACGGCUAACCAAGGCGACGAUCCCUAGCUGGUCUGAGAGGAUGACCAGCCACACUGGAACUGAGAAACGGUCCAGACUCCGACGGGAGGAAGCAGUGGGGAAUAGUGCACAAUGGGCGAAAGCCUGAUGCAGCCAUGCCGCGUGUAUGAAGAAGGCUUUCGGGUUGUAAAGUACUUUCAGCGGGGAGGCGUUACCCGCAGAAGAAGCAACGGCUAACUCCGUGCCAGCAGCCGCGGUAAUUC
rnacentral:rRNA from 1 species